GCUACCAGCUGCAUGGAGCUACUGAGCCCUUCAAAUGUGGCUAACGUGACUGAGGAGCUUAAUUUUUUUUUUUUUUUUUUUAGGAGUUUCACUCUUGUUGCCCAGGCUGGAGUACAAUGGCGCCAUCUUAGCUCACUGCAACCUCUGCCUUCUGCGUUCAAGCGAUUCUCUUGCCUCAGCCUCCCGAUGGUUACAGCCUUCAGCCAUGAUUGUAAGAUUCCUGAGUCUUCAUCAGAAGCAGAGCAGACGUCCAGCGCCAUGAUUCCGAUACAGCCUGCAGAACUAACUUUCUUCAGUUUGUCUCUCCUGGAAGGAUGAGCACCUCCACACUCAAGGUUUGACUAUAUUGAAACUACGUCAUUGAUCAUCAAAUCACAAGAAACAAGGAGUUUUAGUCUUCACUAGAAGCGCACCUAUGUGACCUUGAGCAAGUGUAUUCAGCCUUUCUUGGUCUCCCUUUCCCCAUCUGUAAAAUGAAUGUGUGGUUUGGUGAUGGCUGGUCUGUGGAUCCAUUGCAUCAGAAUCACCUGGAAAGCUACUGCAAAUGCUAAUUUGCAGGUCCUAGCCCAAUCAUGAAUAUCUUUGCACUUGGGCCAGGGGAUCUGUAGUUUCGUACACACACACACACACACACACACACACACACACACACACAGAGAGAGACACUCUCAGGUGAUUUGGAUGCACAGCAGGGUUUGGGACACAUUGGAUUAAACAAUCUGCCUGCUUGCCUGAGUUCAGAGGCAAAAAAAAAAAAAUGGCCCUUGGAUGUAUCCUUUAAUAGGAGGCCAAGAAACGGGAUCAGCCUCCUUGAGGAAGCAGGUUUGGUGCUUCAGGGAGCUACCAAGACUAUCUUCUUAAGAAGCAAUCACCACUUCCCAGGCUUCUCUUGCAUUCCACCUGGGAAUUCCGUGUAUAAUGCAUAUGUAGCCUACAAAGUCAAAGAACUGACUUUCUGCGCCUUUUAUUUAAAUUGGUUUCAUGGAAAGUGGCUAAAUAGGAGAACUGAGAUAAAUGAAAGUUUUACAAAGAUAUUGGAAUUUAACUAAAUAACAACUUAUCUUCGUUAUAUUUGAAGUUUCUGCACUGAUUACUUUUCAUUCCCUUCUCGGGAGUACAGAAUAAAAAGGAAAUGAUUUCACAUGAUACAAUAUGUUAAUCCACUCAUUUUAUCUGCACUCUGCCUUUUAAGAAACCCUCUUAACUGUAUUCCGAGGGGCAAUAAAUAACAAGGAAAUAUUGGCAAGUUGAUUUUGUCUGUGAUUUCUGCAAUUUUCUGUUUUAAUUGACAGAACCUCAGAGCUGAAAAAAGGGAUCAUAUAAUCAAGACAGAUUAUAGAUCAAACAAUUUUAUUAAAUGGGGAAGCUGAAGAAAACCAAAUUGCAAGCGGACAAUACCAUUAUAUAAAAUUUUCACUCAAUUCAUAAUUAGUCACUCCACAUCGUAAUUCUUGGAGGUAGCAAUUUUUCUGCAUUUUACAGAUUUAAAAACUGAGAUCAAACCCACAAGAUUUCAUACAGUAGGUGAUACAGAAAUUCAGUCCAGGUCCAAGGUCUCUAGUGUCAUGUUCCAGAGAUGAUUUUAGCAGGCUUAUUUAUGAACUAGAAAUAGUGGAUAAAGGUUUAAGGAAUAUACUACACAUCUACUUGAUGUAUGCAGUCAUUAAAAUGGACAAGUACCCUCAUAUACUGCAGAUGGGAGAAUAAAUUGAUCAUUGAGCCAGGUGCAGUGAUUCGUGCCCAUAGUCUGAACUACUUGGGAGGCUGAAGUGGGCAGAUUGCUUGAGCCCAGGAGUAUGAGGCUGCAGUGAGUUCUGAUUGCACUGCUGCAUUCCAGCCUGGGCAACAGAGCAAGACCUCACCUCUUAAAAAGAUAAAAAUAAUUGAUGCAAUCAGUCCAGAAACCGAUUUAGCAAUAUCCAUAAAGUGUCUUUUCAAAGUUCAUACCCUUUGGCCCAAUAAUUCACUCUCUAGGAACUUAUCCUAAGGCAAUGAUCAGAAAUUUGGCAAGAGGCUUAUUUGCAAAACUCUGCAUUAAAACAGUACUUUAAAAAUGAAAAACCUGGAAGGAAACUAAAGGUUUAAAAUUAAUGAGUUAGAUAAGUGAUGGCUUUUUACAUGCUAUAAUAUCACAUAUACACAAUGAAAAGGUGUUUUAGUGGUAUAGGAAACUGCUUUUAAUAUUUUAAGAAAAAAGGCAUGAUCAAAAUAUUUUAUGUCUACUAUGAUCCCAAUAUUGUUGAAAGAAAAAUGUGUGCAUGUGUAAAGAAAGCAGGACUGAAAAGGAAUAAGUUAAAAUAUUUAAAGAGUCUUGAAAAGGAAUGUUAAGGUGGUUCUCUCUCUGUGGUGAAAUUACAGCACGUUCUUUGGUCUCUUCUUCGAG
ensembl:lncRNA